AGAAACCAAGGAAGAACAAAUCCUAGGUGGGACAAAUCAAAGAGAAAGUGUUGGAAUUCAAGGAUUUGAUCAAGCAAAGGUAAAAUUUCUUUGAUUUUGCUAGUGAUUUACCUUACCCAUGCAUUUUUCCUUAAUUUCCAUGGUUGAAAAGCAUGCUUUCAUGGUGAAUUCAUGGCUGGUCAAAAUAGGUAUGGAGAGAGAAUGAUCUUGGAUUGGUUUGAUUUUUAGGUAUGUUAGUGUUUUUAGGUGAUUAAUGAUGUGUAGCAUGAAAACAAGUGAAGAAAACCACAAAAGGUUUGGUGCCCAUCAAUAGCCGAAUUCUCUAAGUGAAUAAUGAGGAAGAAUGGGAUGUUAUUCUAGGUGAUUUGAUUAAGAAAUAAUAGUCCUUGGUGAAUUAAGGGAUUGGAAAAGAAAUGGAGCAAGUUAGAGUGAUAUUGGACGCAUUGGCCAAUUUAUAAGAUGAAAAAUCGAUUUAGGCCAAUACCGGGUCUAGAUGGCUACCCGUGCAUUUUUCAUUUCAUAUCGCGCAUAUAUAUUGAGCCUAAAAUAGCUUAUGAUUGUUAGACACAAUUUAAUUGGAAUAUGUGUCAUGGUUUAUGGCUAGGUGGUGAGCCAUUGGAUACGGGUAAAGGACUGUACCCGCGGACUGAAAAUAGGAGUAUUUCUACUCCUAAUACUGUGAGUAAACUUAUUAUUGUCUUAAUUAUCUAGAGUAGUUUUAUACAAUUGUGUGAUUUUAUAGAAAAUGGGUUUAAAUGGUAAA
rnacentral:lncRNA from 1 species